AGUGAACGCUGGCGGUAGGCCUAACACAUGCAAGUCGAACGGCAGCACAGUAAGAGCUUGCUCUUACGGGUGGCGAGUGGCGGACGGGUGAGGAAUACAUCGGAAUCUGCUUUUUCGUGGGGGAUAACGUAGGGAAACUUACGCUAAUACCGCAUACGACCUACGGGUGAAAGCAGGGGAUCUUCGGACCUUGCGCGAUUGAAUGAGCCGAUGUCGGAUUAGCUAGUUGGCGGGGUAAAGGCCCACCAAGGCGACGAUCCGUAGCUGGUCUGAGAGGAUGAUCAGCCACACUGGAACUGAGACACGGUCCAGACUCCUACGGGAGGCAGCAGUGGGGAAUAUUGGACAAUGGGCGCAAGCCUGAUCCAGCCAUACCGCGUGGGUGAAGAAGGCCUUCGGGUUGUAAAGCCCUUUUGUUGGGAAAGAAAAGCAGCAGGUUAAUACCCCGCUGUUCUGACGGUACCCAAAGAGUAAGCACCGGCUAACUUCGUG
rnacentral:rRNA from 1 species